UACGUAGGGUCCGAGCGUUGUCCGGAAUUACUGGGCGUAAAGGGCGCGUAGGCGGCCAACUAAGUCAGACGUGAAAUCCCUCGGCUCAACCGGGGAACUGCGUCUGGUACUGGAUGGCUUGAAUUCGGGAGAGGGAUGCGGAAUUCCAGGUGUAGCGGUGAAAUGCGUAGAUAUCAGGAGGAACACCGGUGGCGAAGGCGGUUCUCUGGGCCUUACCUGACGCUGAUGCGCGAAAGCGUGGGGAGCAAACAGG
rnacentral:rRNA from 1 species